UACUCCCUCUGGCGGCGUGCUUAACACAUGCAAGUCGAACGGAAAGGCCCUGCUUUUGUGGGGUGCUCGAGUGGCGAACGGGUGAGUAACACGUGAGUAACCUGCCUUGACUUUGGGAUAACUUCAGGAAACUGGGGCUAAUACCGGAUAGGAGCUCCUGCUGCAUGGUGGGGGUUGGAAAGUUUCGGCGGUUGGGGAUGGACUCGCGGCUUAUCAGCUUGUUGGUGGGGUAGUGGCUUACCAAGGCUUUGACGGGUAGCCGGCCUGAGAGGGUGACCGGCCACAUUGGGACUGAGAUACGGCCCAGACUCCUACGGGAGGCAGCAGUGGGGAAUAUUGCACAAUGGGCGGAAGCCUGAUGCAGCAACGCCGCGUGCGGGAUGACGGCCUUCGGGUUGUAAACCGCUUUCGCCUGUGACGAAGCGUGAGUGACGGUAAUGGGUAAAGAAGCACCGGCUAACUACGUG
rnacentral:rRNA from 1 species